UCCAUUCCUUCUUUCCCCAGGAGGUGAGGCGCGGCGAAGAGAGCAGGUCAUCCCAGCGGCUUUCUUGAAGGUGGUGAUGGCACAGAGCUAUAUGGUCGGUAUUGCAGAAAAAAAUGCCUGCCUCAUCACAGCGGCCCACAGGAAACCUUGCACAAUAAAGCAUUAGGCUGAGUCGUGCAAUCCUUCUUCAGAACCUGCUGUUGGGCAGAGAAUUGGACUUUGAGAGAAGACCACGCCAGUGAGUUGCACUGCAGUUAUACUUGCUAUCCUAAGCAAGCAGUCCAUUUCUUUCACAAUUUCUGUGACAGAAGAUCAGGCCAUUCUUAAUAAUGCAAUAAACAUUUUGCUCCUGUUUUCAGCUUCUUACAUGUGUGACUAAGCUGCUUUGUGUAACAAGCAUCUUGAGCAAUGUAAUUAAUGUAAUUUCUAAUUGAAAAUAAAUGCC